rnacentral:rRNA from 1 species
CUCUGUGACUCCUACGGGAGGCAGCAGUGGGGAAUAUUGCACAAUGGGCGCAAGCCUGAUGCAGCCAUGCCGCGUGUGUGAAGAAGGCCUUCGGGUUGUAAAGCACUUUCAGUCGUGAGGAAGGUAGUGUAGUUAAUAGCUGCAUUAUUUGACGUUAGCGACAGAAGAAGCACCGGCUAACUCCGUGCCAGCAGCCGCGGUAAUACGGAGGGUGCGAGCGUUAAUCGGAAUUACUGGGCGUAAAGCGCAUGCAGGUGGUUUGUUAAGUCAGAUGUGAAAGCCCCGGGGCUCAACCUCGGAAUAGCAUUUGAAACUGGCAGACUAGAGUACUGUAGAGGGGGUAGAAUUUCAGGUGUAGCGGUGAAAUGCGUAGAGAUCUGAAGGAAUACCGGUGGCGAAGGCGGCCCCCUGGACAGAUACUGACACUCAGAUGCGAAAGCGUGGGGAGCAAACCAGGAUUAGAUACCCCUGUAG